UUUUAGUUAAUUACUAUCAAAUAAGUCGGAUCCAAAGAAAUGAUUUAAACGGCAAAAAUAAAAUCAAACAUGAAAAUUGAAAUCCAAUAUAUCAUCAUUUCCUUAUAAUAGACUAGUAUUGAAUCAACUAUAUACUGGUGAAUAACAUUUCGGAUUUCGAUCUAAGGUAUCCGCACUUGUCUCCGGAAAUAUUAUACCCACACAAGUUGUCAACAUCCGUUUUUAACUGGUCAAGGUGUUCUUCACGAUCUCCAUUGAAAAUAUUCACGCUUUCACUUUUUGCUCAGAUAAUAGAACAUUGUAAAUCUCUAACUGAAAAUACGGACCAAAAUGAAUCAAAUUCAAAAGCACGAUGGAGAAAGAUGUUCACUAUGAAUCAAAAAUUCAAAACAGAGGACUUUUAUAUACAUGUAUCAACAAAAACAAUUGCAGUACAUGCACAUAUACAUGUAUAAAAGUACACUUUCAGCAUGGUCAGAAGAAGAAUUUUACUGGAGGAUUAAAAUUUUGAUACCUAGAAUCAGCAAUGAAUAUGAAAAUAAAAAUGAGAUAUAUUCAUGUACAGAAUGGUAACCGAGGUGGUUCAAUUGUUUAUUAGCAGACAUUUUUGUUGAACUUAUGCAGGAUUGAAUAAAUGAAACUUAAGCUGA